UAGAGGAAGUAAAAGUCGUAACAAGGUUUCCGUAGGUGAACCUGCGGAAGGAUCAUUAAAGAGUAAGGGUGCUCAGCGCCCGACCUCCAACCCUUUGUUGUUAAAACUACCUUGUUGCUUUGGCGGGACCGCUCGGUCUCGAGCCGCUGGGGAUUCGUCCCAGGCGAGCGCCCGCCAGAGUUAAACCAAACUCUUGUUAUUUAACCGGUCGUCUGAGUUAAAAUUUUGAAUAAAUCAAAACUUUCAACAACGGAUCUCUUGGUUCUCGCAUCGAUGAAGAACGCAGCGAAAUGCGAUAAGUAAUGUGAAUUGCAGAAUUCAGUGAAUCAUCGAAUCUUUGAACGCACAUUGCGCCCCUUGGUAUUCCGAGGGGCAUGCCUGUUCGAGCGUCAUUACACCACUCAAGCUAUGCUUGGUAUUGGGCGUCGUCCUUAGUUGGGCGCGCCUUAAAGACCUCGGCGAGGCCACUCCGGCUUUAGGCGUAGUAGAAUUUAUUCGAACGUCUGUCAAAGGAGAGGAACUCUGCCGACUGAAACCUUUAUUUUUCUAGGUUGACCUCGGAUCAGGUAGGGAUACCCGCUGAACUUAAGCAUAUCAAUA
rnacentral:rRNA from 1 species